rnacentral:rRNA from 1 species
CAUUAAGAGUAUGAUCCUAGCUCAGGAUGAACGCUGGCGGUGUGCUUAACACAUGCAAGUCAUACGGGGAAGUUUUACUUUUCAGUGGCGGACGGGUGAGUAACGCGUGAGAAUUUGCCUUUCGGAAGAGACUACCACUGCGAGAUCAGUAUUAAUGUUCUAUAAUGCUUUGAAAAAGAUGCUUUUUUUGAUUGAUCGAACUGCAGAAGACUUCUUCUGUGGCACUUUCAGAGAAAAAGUGGUUUUUUUCAUUAGAAGUGAAAGAAGAAAUUCGCCGAAAGAGAAGCUCGCGUCUGAUUAGCUAGUUGGUGGAGUAAAAGCCUACCAAGGCGACGAUCAGUAGCUGGUUUGAGAGGAUGAUCAGCCACACUGGAACUGAGAUACGGUCCAGACUCCUACGGGAGGCAGCAGUGAGGAAUAUUCUGCAAUGGGCGAAAGCCUGACAGAGCAACACCGCGUGAGGGAAGAAAGCCUACGGGUCGUAAACCUCUUUUCUCAAGGAGGAAGUUCUGACGUUACUUGAGGAAUAAGUAUCGGCAAACCCUGUGCCAGCAGCCGCGGUAAGACAGGGGAUGCAAGCGUUAUCCGGAAUUAUUGGGCGUAAAGCGUCUGCAGGUGGAGAAGGAAGUCUUUUGUUAAACCUCUGGGCUUAACCCAGAAUCUGCAAAAGAAACUCUUUUUCUUGAGGAUGGUAGAGGUAAAGGGAACUUCCAGUGGAGCGGUGAAAUGUGUAGAGAUUGGAAAGAACACCAAGGGCGAAAGCACUUUACUGGGCCAUAUCUGACACUGAGAGACGAAAGCUAGGGGAGCAAACGGGAUUAGAGACCCCGGUAGUCCUAGCCGUAAACGAUGAAUACUAGAUGUUGCCUUAAAGGCCUCUCAGAAAAAAAUUCUAGAAGAGGCAUUUAUAGGCGGUGUCGUAGCUAACGCGUUAAGUAUUCCGCCUGGGGAGUACGUUCGCAAGAAUGAAACUCAAAGGAAUUGACGGGGGCCUGCACAAGCGGUGGAGCAUGUGGUUUAAUUCGAUGCAACACGAAGAACCUUACCAAGAUUUGACAUGAAGAGAAGUUUUUUGAAAGAAAGAUGUGCUACGGCCUCUUACACAGGUGGUGCAUGGCUGUCGUCAGCUCGUGUCGUGAGAUGUUGGGUUAAGUCCCGCAACGAGCGCAACCCUUGUCUUUAGUUACUUUUCUAAAGAGACUGCCGAUUAUAAGUCGGAGGAAGGCGAGGAUGAGGUCAAGUCAUCAUGCCUCUUACAUCUUGGGCUACACACGUGCUACAAUGGAAAGGACAAAAAGUUGCAAAUUCGUGAGAAUGAGCUAAUCUCAAAACCUCUUCGUAGUUCGGAUUGUAGGCUGCAACUCGCCUACAUGAAGGUGGAAUCGCUAGUAAUCGCAGGUCAGCUAUACUGCGGUGAAUCCGUUCUCAGGCCUUGUACAUACCGCCCGUCACACCCUGGGAGCUGGUUAUACCCAAAGCUCUUGUAAAAGAAUGAAGGUAGGAUUGGUGACUAAGGUGAAGUCGUAACAAGGUAGCUGUACUGGAAGGUGCGGCUGGAUUACCUCCUAUC